rnacentral:rRNA from 1 species
UCGGUUGAUCCUGCCGGACCUGACUGCUAUCGGAUUGAUACUAAGCCAUGCGAGUCAUUGUAGUAAUACAAGGCAGACGGCUCAGUAACGCGUAGUCAACCUAACCUAUGGACGGAGAUAACCUCGGGAAACUGAGAAUAAUACCCGAUAGAACAUUAUGCCUGGAACGGUUAAUGUUUCAAAUAAUUUAUUGCCGUAGGAUGGGACUGCGGCCUAUCAGUUUGUUGGUGAGGUAAUGGCCCACCAAGACUAUUACAGGUACGGGCUCUGAGAGGAGUAGCCCGGAGAUGGGUACUGAGACACGGACCCAGGCCCUAUGGGGCGCAGCAGGCGAGAAAACUUUGCAAUGUGCGAAAGCACGACAAGGUUAAUCCGAGUGGUUUCUGCUAAAGGAACCUUUUGUCAGUCCUAGAAACACUGGUGAAUAAGGGGUGGGCAAGUUCUGGUGUCAGCCGCCGCGGUAAAACCAGCACCUCANGUGGUCAGGAUGAUUAUUGGGCCUAAAGCAUCCGUAGCCUGCUUUGUUAGUUUUCGGUUAAAUCCAUACGCUUAACGUAUGGGCUGCCGGGAAUACUGCAAAGCUAGGGAGUGGGAGAGGUAGACGGUACUCGGUAGGAAGGGGUAAAAUCCUUUGAUCUAUUGAUGACCACCUGUGGCGAANGCGGUCUACCAGAACACGUCCNACGGUGAGGGAUGAAAGCUGGGGGAGCAAACCGGAUUAGAUACCCGGGUAGUCCCAGCUGUAAACUAUGCAAACUCGGUGAUGCAUUNGCUNNNNCCAAUGCANUGCCACAGGGAAGCCGUUAAGUUUGCCGCCNGGNA